AGUCUGAUUAUGGCCUGUUGAUGAACGCUGGCGGGAUGCUUUACACAUGCAAGUCGAACGGCAGCGCACGGACUUCGGUCUGGUGGCGAGUGGCGAACGGUGAGUAAUGUGUAUCGGAACGUGCCUAGUAGUGGGGGAUAACGCCAUGCAGCAUAAUACCGCACGGCCAGCCCUUCGGGGAAAGCGGGGACCCGGGCUCGCACGAUGCGGAGCGCUUGAUAUCGGAUUAGCGAAGUAGGGUAACGGCUCACCAAGGCGACGAUCCGUGGCUGGUUUGAGAGGACGACCAGCCACACUGUGAUCCAGACACGGCCCGCAGACCUACGGGAGGCAGCAGUGGGGGAAUUUUGACAAUGGGGGAAAUCUCUGGAUCCAGCCAACCGCGUGUGCGAAAGUAAGGCCUUCGGGUUGUAAAGCACUUUGGCAGGAAAGUAAAAACGACACGGAUAAUACCCCGUGCAACUGACGUGUACCUGCAGAAGCACCGGUUAACUACGUGCCAGCAGCCGCGGUAAUACGUAGGGUGCAAGCGUUAAUCGAAUGCCAUUGGCGUAAAGCGUAAAGUAGGCGGUUCGAAAUGAAAGAUGAAAUCCCAGAGCUUAACUUUAAACUCAUUUUUAACUACCGAGCUAGAGUGUGUCAGAGGAGGUGGAAUUCCGCGUGUAGCAGUGAAAUGCGUAGAUAUGCGGAGGAACACCGAUGGCGAAGGCAGCCUCCUGGGAUAACACUGACGCUCAUGCACGAAAGCGUGGGGAGCAAACAGGAUUAGAUACUCCUGGUAGUCCACGCCCUAAACGAUGUCAACUAGCUGUUGGGGCCUUCGGGCUCCGGUAGCGCAGCUAACGCGUGAAGUUGACCGCCUGUGAGUACGGUCGCAAGAUUAAACUCAAAGGAAUUGACGGGGACCCGCACAAGCGGUGGAUGAUGUGGAUUAAUUCGAUGCAACGCGAAAAACCUUACCUACCCUUGACAUGUCUGGAAUCCCGAAGAGAUUUGGGAGUGCUCGCAAGAGAACCGGAACACAGGUGCUGUAUGGCUGUCGUCAGCUCGUGUCGUGAGAUGUUGGGUUAAGUCCCGCAACGAGCGCAACCCUUGUCAUUAGUUGCUGGCUGAAAGGGCACUCUAAUGAGACUGCCGGUGACAAACCGGAGGAAGGUGGGGAUGACGUCAAGUCCUCAUGGCCCUUAUGGGUAGGGCUUCACACGUCAUACAAUGGUGGUCGGGACAGAGGGUCGCUAACCCGCGAGGGGAGCCAAUCCCAGAAACCCGAUCGUAGUCCGAUCGCAGGUCUGCAACUCGACUGCGUGAAGUCGGAAUCGCUAGUAAUCGCGGACGACAAUGAGCCAGGUGGUGAACAUGUUCCUGGCCCUGUACACACCGCCCGUCACACCAUGGAGUGGGUUUACCGAAGUAGUUAGCCUAACCGUAAGAGGCAUUUACCACCAGAUUCAUGACUGGUGUCAACAAGGUAA
rnacentral:rRNA from 1 species